CCAAGAGGCGGAGCGAGCCGGGAUAGGUGGAAUGAGGUCUGCAAUUCCCUGCUGCAGAAAAGGGUCUGGGGCGGGGGAGGCUCGAGAGCUGUUUGUGAAAGUGUGAGGAGCCUUCGGCGACUUUCCCCGGUUCGAGAGAGGAGCUGGCACUCUACAUCAUGUCCCUGUCCCCAGCUUGCUACACUAGAGAUUUCAGGAAAUUUCCCCUUUGGAUGAGACCUUGCCCUCUCCUGCGGCUGAACUGAGCUAUCUCAUUCCCAGUGGGAGAGCUCUCUCAUUCUGUAUUGUCUGGAACUAAAAUCUCCCUUGGAGAAGGCUGGAGGGAGAAGAGGCAAGGGAUGACUGUACUGCCUCCCUUCAAGCACAAAACAGCUCCUCACCCUUACAUGUGGAGAAGAGUCCUUACUACAUAUCUGUAUUCUGAGCACUUAGCACCGUGCUUGGAAGAAGGGGGUUUAAAUCUCAAGAACUGGUCUUUGCAUUCUCGAGACUUCCCUUUUGGGGAAAAAGAGAUCUCAAUUCCAUCAAGAGAGCAUUUGCUAUUGAUCUACUGUGAUGGGCUAUGUUCUUCUCACCAAUGCAAUGGUACAGAAGAGUUCCAGGGAACUCAUGAUAGGAGAGGAUCUCCAAAUCCGAGAAAAAAAAAAAAGA